AUUGAACGCUGGCGGCAUGCUUUACACAUGCAAGUCGAACGGCAGCGCGGGCUUCGGCCUGGCGGCGAGUGGCGAACGGGUGAGUAAUACAUCGGAACGUGCCCAGUAGUGGGGGAUAGCUCGGCGAAAGCCGGAUUAAUACCGCAUACGACCUGAGGGUGAAAGCGGGGGAUCUUCGGACCUCGCGCUAUUGGAGCGGCCGAUGGCAGUUUAGCUAGUUGGUGGGGUAAAGGCCUACCAAGGCGACGAUCUGUAGCUGGUCUGAGAGGACGACCAGCCACACUGGGACUGAGACACGGCCCAGACUCCUACGGGAGGCAGCAGUGGGGAAUUUUGGACAAUGGGCGAAAGCCUGAUCCAGCAAUGCCGCGUGUGUGAUGAAGGCCUUCGGGUUGUAAAGCACUUUUGGCGGGAACGAAAAGGACUGUGCCAAUACCACGGUUCGAUGACGGUACCCGCAGAAUAAGCACCGGCUAACUACGUG
rnacentral:rRNA from 1 species